rnacentral:rRNA from 1 species
UACGUAGGGGGCGAGCGUUGUCCGGAGUUACUGGGCGUAAAGCGUGCGCAGGCGGUUUGCUAAGACCGAUGUGAAAUCCCCGGGCUUAACCUGGGAACUGCAUUGGUGACUGGCAGGCUAGAGUAUGGCAGAGGGGGGUAGAAUUCCACGUGUAGCAGUGAAAUGCGUAGAGAUGUGGAGGAAUACCGAUGGCGAAGGCAGCCCCCUGGGCCAAUACUGACGCUCAUGCACGAAAGCGUGGGGAGCAAACAGG